AGCGAACGCUGGCGGCAGGCCUAACACAUGCAAGUCGAGCGGGCACUUCGGUGUCAGCGGCAGACGGGUGAGUAACACGUGGGAACGUACCCUUUGGUUUGGAAUAACUCUGGGAAACUAGUGCUAAUACCGAAUACGCCCUUUUGGCGAAAGGCUUGCUGCCGAAGGAUCUGCCGGCGUCUGAUUAGCUAGUUGGUUGGGUAAUGGCCUAUUAAGGCGACGAUCAGUAGCUGGGCUGAGAGGAUGAUCAGCCACACUGGGACUGAGACACGGCCCAGACUCCUACGGGAGGCAGCAGUGGGGGAUAGUGGACAGUGGGCGCAAGGCUGAUCCAGCCAUGCUGCGUGAGUGCUGAAGGCCUUAGGGUUGUAAAGCUCUUUUGACCGGGACGAUAUUGACGGUACCGGAUGAAUAAGCCACGGCUAACUUCGUG
rnacentral:rRNA from 1 species